rnacentral:rRNA from 1 species
GAGGAAUAUUGGUCAAUGGACGCAAGUCUGAACCAGCCACGUCGCGUGAAGGAAGACGGCCCUACGGGUUGUAAACUUCUUUUAUACGGGAAUAAAGUGCCCCACGCGUGGGGUUUUGCAAGUACCGUACGAAUAAGGAUCGGCUAACUCCGUGCCAGCAGCCGCGGUAAUACGGAGGAUCCGAGCGUUAUCCGGAUUUAUUGGGUUUAAAGGGUGCUCAGGCGGGGGAUUAAGUCGGCGGUGAAAUUUUGCAGCUCAACUGUAAAAGUGCCUUCGAAACUGGUUUCCUUGAGUGCGGAUGAGGUAGGCGGAAUUUGUGGUGUAGCGGUGAAAUGCAUAGAUAUCACGAGGAACUCCGAUUGCGCAGGCAGCUUACCAAGCCGUAACUGACGCUCAAGCACGAAGGCGUGGGGAUCAAACA